rnacentral:piRNA from 1 species
UACAAUUGGAGUGAUGAAGAGGAAUCAGG